rnacentral:rRNA from 1 species
UCGGGAAUUUUGGGCAAUGGGCGAAAGCCUGACCCAGCAACGCCGCGUGAGGGAUGAAGUAUUUUGGUAUGUAAACCUCGAAAGAAUGGGAAGAAUAAAUGACGGUACCAUUUAUAAGCUCCGGCUAACUACGUGCCAGCAGCCGCGGUAAUACGUAGGGAGCAAGCGUUGUUCGGCUUUACUGGGCGCAACGGGCGCGUAGGCGGCGCGGUAAGUCACUUGUGAAAUCUCUGAGCUUAACUCAGAACGGCCAAGUGAUACUGCUGUGCUAGAGUGCGGAAGAGGCAACCGGAAUUCUUGUGGUAGCGGUGAAAGGCGUAGAUAUCAAGAGGAACACCUGAGGCGAAGGCGGGUUGCUGGGCCGACACUGACGCUGAUGCGCGAAAGCCAGG